AAGAAAGGAGGCCUAGUGCGUGUAGCUGGAGAAAAAGUUGAAGUAAGGGGAGGGGUGAAGGGGUGGAGACCUUUAGAAAACCUUUGUUCCUUCUAAGAAGCUUGAACUUUGUGAUGGCCCAAAGCCCUAAAGUUUAGGGUAGGUGUCUCUGUGGGGAGGUCAGCACUUCGACCUCACAAGUGGCGAGAGAGGACAAAUGGUCCAGACUUUCGACAGAUGACUACCGGGGCGUGAAGAAGGGAGCCCUUCCUCCAGAGUACUCGUGGCUAUCCCGCGACGACGCCAGAAAGGCGCGUGUCUGCACUCUGCAGACACAAACUGCAAAGCUAGGCUGUGGAGCCCGGAGCCCUAAGCCUCCGAGUGAGCUGUCGGAAAGGAGGAAAGAUGGCGAGAAAGUUAAGUUAGCAGAUCUCGGGGUCUUUAUAGGGCGUCUUAGGCUCCCCUGCGGGUUAGAGACGCAGUUUCCAGAGCUGGAGGAGACGCAAGCGUGGGGACAGACAAUUAGCUUUCUCUGUAAAAUAAUCCUGCGACCUUCAGGUUAGUUACUGCCGGUGGAGGCAGGCGAGAGUUCCAGCAAGCCUCCUCUUAUGGAGCCACUGAGCCACUGAAAGUAAUAUAAAUUUAAACCCCUGCAUCCUGGUCCCCCCCCCCCCAUCAUAGCUCCUGCUUGGGAUUCUCACCCUCUCUUCCUACUUAAGAUCCGGUAAGGGGAGGGUGCGGCUUCCACCGAGUCCUGGAGAGGCCCCCACUACAGGGCUGCCUGCGCUGGCUCAUCCCAGUGCCAGCCCCUCUUUCUGCGUCGGAGGUACCAGCUAGGGACAACCAAAGUCAGAGGAGACUUUCUCCCAGGCCUGAGUCCACUGCCUCAAGCCUCGGAGUGUGCUCCGGGUGACCAGGUUUGCCUCACCAGGUCUGUGUUACUCCAGCACGCUCUAUGUGCCAAGUCAAGAGAGAGGCGCCAAGUCUGCACCUGGAGCGAACCACGCUGCCGCCCGGCUCUGCAGUUGGUCACAAUAUUGAGAUAAUGCUUCUGUUGGUGCAGGCCUGGGCGGAGCUGGCUCUCCCGGCCGUGAGGGGGCGGCCGCGGCGCGCCGGGCAGCGCUCCCCGCACAAGUAGCUCUCCUACCUCUUUAUAUGCACUUCCAAAAAAAAAAAAAAAAAA